UACCUUAUAACUUUAAUGUUGGUAUGUUUAGUGGAAGGUGUUCAGGGAAAUGUAGGAAAACACUACAUGAAGCAGGCUGAAGGAAAGUAGAAUAAAACAAAGUGAAGAUGACAGAAUAAUUUCCAACAGAAAAAGAAAAUCUUUUUAGCGAUGAGACAUUUUUUACAGCGUUCUCUUCAUUGAUUAUAAACGAGCAUCUGCACAUGUCUCAGCUCCCGCUUCCUGUUUCCUCUGCAGACUCCUCAGACUGACAGUUAUGAAUAAUAACUACGGGACACCAGAGGUAACAGAAACAAUAAAAAAUUCAUACGACUGAAGCGCUUGUAUCGAUCUCUUCCAGGCGAGUGUUUUCUUUGAUCGUUCAGCGGUGAAGCAAACAGGAAUAAUGAACGAACGGCAGUCUCUGUGUUGUGCUGACUCGGCCCUUUCUCAGGAUAAUCUGUUGUGUUGUGAGUUGAAUCUGAGCCGUUUGUGCUAAAGGACGGCGUUUAGUCCAAGGUGAGAAGGAUCAAUAACCACAGUCUGAGCAGUGAUGGGAAACUGAUGAGAGCUCAUCUUUGACCUUUAACUGGUAAUGAGAUGCAGAUAUCUGCAGAAGAAACUCACUUCAGAUGAGAGGACUUCCUGUUGGCGUUGAAAAUCCCAUUUUGGGGGGACGCUUUCAGUCUGACUGUGAUGGAGAAGCAAAGCAGCUGUCAGCAGAUUGGCAGGCGGGUGUUUUUGAAUGAGAGCCAGUCGGGAUGAAGGACUUAUUUCUGUCACAGAGGAUGAUCCCACACAGCGAGGCUGAAGCUCUGAACCCUCAGCCUGACUCGUCCUCACUCAGCUGGGUUUUUGAUCCGCGCUCUCAGGAGGAUUCACACCGACACGGUUUUACCAAAUUUCUCCAGCGAGAGUCGUUGCAAAUGUGAUUCAGGAGUCCCCGGGGAAAUAAGCAUGUAAGGUGCUGCUGCUGUUUGCCCGUCAGGCAAAGUAAUAUCCUCAGCCUGUUAGACGGAGCAAUAAUCUGCACAGGAGGGACGUCUGCACCCUCGGGACCAUGAGCGACGCCCAGGGAGAGUCUGCCGGGGUUUAUGAGGCCAUUGUCACAUUCAGUGUCAAUGUCCUCAUCACACAGAUGGUGAAAAACAGAGAGAGAGCUUCCCUGCGGUAGAGACUGAGCUGAGGAGGAAACAUAAACAGUCCUGGGUUCGCACCUAACAUGUCUAAGAGCAGGAAAUCACCCCUAAGUGGCCAAAAAUUCUCAGACCAUGUCCACAUUGGUCUGAGAAUGUCUUUCUCUCCAUUUUGGCCUCCGUCCAGACUAAAACAGUGUUUUUCUCCCCCCAAAACAGAGCUUUUCCAAAACAUCUCGCCUCACCGGCUUGGCGUUGCGGUGUGAACGAGGAAAAUGGAGCUUUGUAGAAACGCUGUCAUACCGCUGACAGCAAAAACAUUUUUAUCAGCUUUUUAAACAUGCUGAAGGAAAUCUUUCCAAUCUGUGCUGAUCUUUCGGAGCUGCAUUCAGGCAGAUAUUCUGUGAGCAGAAGGCUUGAUGAAAAUAAGACUGUUGAAAGAUUGUUUUGACAAAAUAAAAAAUAAAAACAAAUAAUAUUUGAGACUGGCCUGGUGCACGAUGCAGAGGAGGACACAUAUUGUCCCUGUAAACACUGACAUCCUCACAUUACACUUUAUUAUAACUGGGAACAGCUUUGUGACUAUGAUGAUUCUGUUACGAACAACAACUUCAGCAGUCGUAAAUCAAACUUUGAUCACACUUAAUACUCGUCAUAAAAAUAACAUGGAGCAGGAGGAAGCUCCUCAGUGAGAGCGACUCAGACUGAUACAAACACAUUCGUGUUCUGCUGCUACUGUCUUUUCUCUUAUUGUUAUUUACUUAUUUCAAAUAAUUGUGUGAACGUAGGUGUGACUUUGUUUCAUUUCUAUCUACAUACCUGCAGAAAUAUGUGUGUUUUAUUAGUAGUAGUAUUCAUGCAGUUUACAGUGAGAGGGAAAUAUCCCGUUACGCUAACCAACGUUGUUCGGUCAUUAUUAGUUUAGUCAUUUGAGGUGAUUGUGUUUUUUUUAUGUAAAAUGUAAAGUUUAUUGUAGCAUUUCCAUCUGUAGUGUCUGAACAGAAUAAAAAAGAGCAAAAGAUUAAA